rnacentral:rRNA from 1 species
CCAAUAGCGUAUAUUAAAGUUGUUGCAGUUAAAAAGCUCGUAGUUGAACUUCGAGAUUCGUCCAUUGGUCAGGCUUAACUGUCUGUACUGAUGUUUCGGAUUUCUACCUUCUGAAGAACCUUCAUGUCAUUAAUUUGGUGUGUUGGGGAAUCAGGACUGUUACUUUGAAAAAAUUAGAGUGUUUAAAGCAGGCUAACGUCUGAAUACAUUAGCAUGGAAUAAUGAAAUAGGACGGUACGGUUCUAUUUUGUUGGUUUCUAGGAUCGCCGUAAUGAUUAAUAGGGAUAGUUGGGGGCAUUAGUAUUCAAUUGUCAGAGGUGAAAUUCUUGGAUUUAUUGAAGACUAACUACUGCGAAAGCAUUUGCCAAGGAUGUUUUCAUUAAUCAAGAACGAAAGUUAAGGGAUCGAAGACGAUCAGAUACCGUCGUAGUCUUAACAAUAAACUAUGCCGCCUAGGGAUUGGACGAUGUUAAUUUUUAAAUGACUCGUUCAGCACCUUACG